CUACGGGUCGCUGCAGUGGGGAAUAUUGCACAAUGGAGGAAACUCUGAUGCAGCAACGCCGCGUGGAGGAUGACGCAUUUCGGUGUGUAAACUCCUUUUAUAUGUCAAGAAAAUGACGGUAGCAUAUGAAUAAGCUCCGGCUAACUCCGUGCCAGCAGCCGCGGUAAUACGGCGGGAGCAAGCGUUACUCGGAAUCACUGGGCGUAAAGGACGCGUAGGCGGGAUAGAAAGUCAGGUGUGAAAUCCUAUGGCUCAACCAUAGAACUGCACUUGAAACUUCUAACCUAGAGUAUGGGAGGGGAAGAUGGAAUUAGUGGUGUAGGGGUAAAAUCCGUAGAUAUCACUAGGAAUACCAAAAGCGAAGGCGAUCUUCUGGAACAAUACUGACGCUAAGGCGUGAAAGCGUGGGGAGCAAACAGGAUUAGAUACCCUGGUAGUC
rnacentral:rRNA from 1 species